UACGUAGGGGGCAAGCGUUGUCCGGAAUCAUUGGGCGUAAAGAGCGUGUAGGCGGCCAGAUAAGUCCGCUGUGAAAUCUCGAGGCUCAACUUCGAGCUGUCGGUGGAAACUGUCUGGCUAGAGUCCGGAAGAGGAGAAUGGAAUCCUGGUGUAGCGGUGAAAUGCGCAGAUAUCAGGAAGAACACCCGUGGCGAAGGCGGUUCUCUGGGACGGUACUGACGCUGAGACGCGAAAGCGUGGGGAGCGAACAGG
rnacentral:rRNA from 1 species